rnacentral:snoRNA from 1 species
CAACAAAAAAACAAAUACCCACUGUGCUCCUUUCCUUGUGGGGGCCUGGUGUGCAAUAACUGCUAAUAGCAGUCUUCUUGGUGGUGUAUGCAGUCUACUGCUUGUAUGGGUUGCACUAAGGGACUUUAGAGGCAGAC